GAAGAAGCCGUUUGCCCUUCUUACAGACAUGCUUCAUUGUUGAUUUUUUAGGUUUACAAUUUUUAUUUUUCCUUUCCACUGACUUCCCGUCGAGUCUUCUAACCAAGCCAUCUCGUAUCUCGGCGAACCCGGUCACUGGCAGUUUCGGCGAGCAGUUGUUCUUCAUUUUGGGAAGUAUUAUCUCAAAGAUCUAAGUGAGCCAUCUGCGCUUGCGGUAUCUUCAAUUGCUGCUUUUAUUUGCUCUGUUGCUCUCUUGGUUUUUGUACUUGCUGUGUUCUUUGGAGCAAAUGUCUGAGUUUUUUGGUUCAACCAUGAACGGAUAGGUGCAUAGCAUAGCAGACUAAUGUGGUAAUGAGAAAUGGGAUUGAGAAGACAAGAUAGAGAUGAUAUGGCAUCCUUCAACAACAAUCUCUUUAUUACACUUGAACAAAGCCCACAGUUUUCAGUGUAAUAGUUAAAGAAAUCUGUUGUGACCAUUUCUUCUUUAGCACGUGUUCAGUUUAACACUUGAGCUUAAAUAGUAAGGGUCCACAUUGGUUAAUUUAUGAUUCAAAAAGUCCACAUUGUACUUAAUUGAGUGUUAAACUCAAUUGUUAUUUUAUUUUGUUCUGUUCUAUAUGUUUUCUAACUCUGUUUUGUGUUUUGGUUUUGUUUCUGUGUUUUUUCUUCAGACCAAACAUGGUAAUAUGUUUCUUAAUCACACUUUAGUCUGUGUUUCAAAGUGUUUGUAUGGAAAAUUCAAUGUCCCCAUAUACCUGAUUCAAUGACCAAACAUGCUCACCACACAACUUAAGACCUAAUUCAAUGUCAGCCAUACAUCUCUACUCUUCUCUAGUCAAAUCCAACGGUUCUAGAUAGACUGUCGCCUCUCUGGAACUCUUGUAAUUAGAUACACACAAUGUUGUUAGGAUUCCUUAAUUUUAGGGAUUUGAAUCCUAAUGUUAGAAUUUCUUAACUUUAGGGAUUUGAAUCCCGAGUUGAUUUAUCCUAAUUAUAGCAGGAGUAUUAUAUUUUCUUUUAUUAUUUCCUUUAUUCGAAUUUCAAGUUGACUAAGGAUUAGAAAUUCUAUAUAUAUGUAAUGCCUUUGGCUAUUUUCACAAGCAAUAAAAUACAAUUCAAAGCCUUGUGUCAGUUUGGAGGUUGAUCUUCUCAAACUGAUUGAAUCCCUAUCUUUUUCAAAUUUUUCAAUUUUCCUAAUGCCUCCAUGGGCUUCUAACUAAUUUCCAUUCUCGUGAAUUCUGAUCUGGUUCAGGUUACAAAUUCCAUUACCAUGUUUCCAAAACCUGUUUCAGCUCCUUCUUCUCUGGCUGCAAAGCAACAGGGGACUCUCAUGUUGAGUUCUUCCUUUAUUGGUUCAUGGAACUUCACAUCAUCUUCUUGUAAUCUGAAUUUGAGGACAUCCCACUUACAAGUGUAGUGUUUCAGCCAUUUGAAGAAGUCAAGAAGGAGGUUCUUCAUAUUCCUGUUGCUCCUCAAGUUUCACUUGCUAGACAGAAGUUUUCCAAGGAGUGAAGCUGCUAUAAAUGAGUAGAUCAAUGUUGAAUAUUAUGUCUCUUAUGUGUACCAUGCCAUGUACGUGUUUGCAAGAGAUAAUAUUGCUCUCAAGGGCCUGGCCAGAUUUUUCAAGGAGUCAAGUGAAGAAGAAAAAGAAUAUGCUGAAAAGUUGAUGGAAUAUCAGGUUUAUUUUUCCCAGUUCCUGUGUUCUUGAAGGUUUAAAGGCUUAUUUGGAAAUGUGAAGGCUUUUUCCAUGAAGAUGUGCACUACAUUUUAAACAAAUUCAAUUUUUUAAGCUUUUGAUUUUAUUUUAUGUUUCAGAUAUAUUUGCCCCAUUUGGACUCACCUCUGCCAAGAUGAUUUAGUUCUGCAAAUGGCUUCUUUUUUCGUAUCAGGUUUGUUCUACUGCUCAUGUUACCUAUUUGUGCAUGAAUUAGUACAAUAAUAUUCCUCUUUGCAUGAUUUUCUGAUACUAGCUAUACGCUAGACUUUUGAUUUUGUUGAUGGGAAGCCAGCAUGACAGACAAAUUCAUCUGGUCCAUUGGGCAACUUUUUGACCAUGGAGAUUUCCCUCUUGUUUGUCUUUUGCCCAGUAAAAUUACAAGAACGAUGUGCUCUUAACAAUACACGUGAGGUGUCAUACUUGUUUCUUUAUUCUUUGACAUUACAAUAUAUUUUUAGAUCAGUAUAUGAAAAUGAGUGUCUAUUUCAUUUGCCCACA